CUCAGAGAGCCCUCUACAGGGACGUCAUGCAGGAGAACUACGAGACGGUGACCUCGCUGGGAUUCCCUCUUCCCAAACCUGAUCUAAUCAGCCGGCUGGAACGAGGGGAAGAGCCGUGGGUGCCCGAUCUCCAGGCCUGCGAGGAAAGAGAGAUCCCAAGAGUCGCCCACACAGCGUGAUUUCUGUGGGAAAUGGAGCCUGACCUGCUGAGGAC